AUUGAACGCUGGCGGCAGGCCUAACACAUGCAAGUCGAACGAGUGGCGGACGGGUGAGUAAUGUCUGGGAAACUGCCCGAUGGAGGGGGAUAACUACUGGAAACGGUAGCUAAUACCGCAUCCCAUCGGAUGUGCCCAGUUGGGAUUAGCUUGUAGGUGAGGUAACGGCUCCCCUAGGCGACGAUCCCUAGCUGGGCUGAGAGGAUGACCAGCCACACUGGGACUGAGAAACGGUCCAGACGCUGACGGGAGGGAGCAGUGGGGAAUAUGGCGCAAUGGGCGCAAGCCUGAUGCAGCCAGGCCGCGUGUAUGAAGAAGGCCUGCGGUUUGUAAAGUACUUUCAGCGGGGAGGCGUUACCCGCAGAAGAAGCACCGGCUAACUCCGUGCCAGCAGCCGCGGUAAUUC
rnacentral:rRNA from 1 species